rnacentral:tRNA from 1 species
GGAAGUAAGAUAUAUUAUCGCUGCUAACGAAUAAUUUGUAGAUUUGAUUCUACUACUUUCU